AAUCAACGCUGGCGGCGUGCCUAACACAUGCAAGUCGAACGCGAAAGCCCCUUCGGGGGUAAGUAGAGUGGCGUCCGGGUGAGUAACACGUAGGUAAUCUGCCUUCGGGUGGGAAUAACCAGUCGAAAGAUUGGCUAAUACCGCAUAAUGCAGCGGCACCUAAUGGUGAGUUAGUUGUUAAAGCGGGGGAUCGUAAGACCUCGCGCCUGAAGAGGUAGCCUGCGGCAGAUUAGCUAGGGUUGAGGUAAGUGGCUCACCAAGGCUUCGAUCUGUAGCU
rnacentral:rRNA from 1 species